AUGGACAUGGAGCUCGACGCCGCUCGCCACGGGUUCGCCAAGAUGGGCUUCGGGUGCAAGCACUACAGGAGGCGGUGCAGGAUCCGGGCGCCCUGCUGCAACGACGUCUUCCACUGCCGCCAUUGCCACAACGACUCCACGAAAGACGGGCACGAGCUCGACCGCCACGCAGUCGAAUCGGUCAUAUGUCUCGUCUGUGACACCGAGCAGCCGGUGGCGCAAGUGUGCAGCAACUGCGGCGUGUGCAUGGGGGAGUACUUCUGCCGGGCGUGCAAAUUCUUCGACGACGAUGUUGACAAGGAGCAAUACCACUGCAAAGACUGCGGCAUCUGCAGAGUUGGAGGCAAGGACAACUUCUUCCACUGCCACAAGUGCGGAUCGUGCUACUCGGUGACCCUCCGGGACAAGCAUGUCUGCAUCGAGGACUCGAUGAAGAACAACUGCCCGAUCUGCUACGAGUACCUGUUCGACUCCCUGAGGGAGGCGUCGGUGCUGAGAUGCGGCCACACCAUGCACUUGCAGUGCUUCCACGACAUGCUCAAGCACGACAAGUUCACUUGCCCCAUGUGCUCCGUGUCCAUCUUUGACAUGGAAAAAUUCUUGAGGGCCUUAGAUGCCGAGAUUGAGGCGAGUUUCUUACACAUGGGAAAGGUCAGUGGCAAAUUUGCAACUGACCCAGAUUCAUUUACUAAACUCUAUAAAUCCGAUGAGACCCGGUUAUAUAAAUCUGAUGGUUUUCUGAUGCCAUUACUCCCGGCAUGUGUUUGUGGGUGGGUGCAGGGAUGGAUCGUGUGCAACGACUGCUGGGACACGACCCGAGUGUAUCCGGGCAUGGCGGGACAGAGAAAGUGUUGCCAUUGCCAGUCCUACAACACCUGCAGGGUUGCUCCAUCGGUAUUGCCGGCCUAG
rnacentral:rRNA from 1 species